UAAAUUAUCCCUUAGCUUUAGGACUAUUGUACUUGCUUGUAUAUGGUUAUGUUCUCUUUGCACAUGGGGAUGACUGUUAAAUUUAAUGUGUAGACUAUGUGCUUUGGUAUUCUGUUCUGUUUGGGAGAAGGGUUCUGUAUCGAUCCAGCUGUCUUCUCCAACCAUUUCCAUGGACCCCACUGGUUUUUGUAUUUAUGAAGGAACGAACUAGACCAUAAGUUUUUGUAGGCCAUAGUGGCUAGCCCUUCUCAUUCAUAAUCUUUAGGUUGCUUCUGUUCUGCAGUAGCCCUUCUUCAUAUAAUGGUCAUUAUUUUACAAUAGGCCUUUUAUGCAAUAGUUGGUAAAUAUAUGUUAAUUUCCAAUACCUUUGAAUAUUUUGUAUCAUGUAAUUUUACAUGGUACCUCUUCCUGUCCCUAUUAGGAACCUAAAUAAAUGCAUGAUUCCCUAUUAACAGUUAUCUAGUGAAGAAUUUUUAUAUUCUUCCCUAAUUGAGUAUUUGAUCAUUAUCUUAAAUGUGUAUGCACAUAUAAAAUAUAUAUAGUGGCUAGUGCUUAUUCUUAUUAAACUGAUAGUUCUACGUUUUAUAGGCUUUUUUAUCUUGCUAGUUUUUCAGGAUAUUUUCUGUUAACCAUCUCUUCAUAAGCUAAGGCUUCCUUUCUGAUUUCAUUUUGUUUGUGUGCUUUCUAGCUCACUCAUGUGACUGCACUGAAAUCUAAGGAUCGGAAAGAAUCUGUGGUUCAGGAGGAAAA
rnacentral:lncRNA from 1 species